AUACAGAGGUGGCAAGCGUUGUUCGGAUUUAUUGGGCGUAAAGGGUCCGUAGGCGGCCUGGAAAGUCGGAUGUGAAAUCUCACAGCUCAACUGUGAAACUGCAUUCGAAACUCUCAGGCUAGAGUGUGAGAGGGGUGAAGAGAAUUCCCGGUGUAAGGGUGAAAUCUGCAGAUAUCGGGAGGAAAACCAGUCGCGAAGGCGCUUCACUGGCUCACUACUGACGCUGAGGGACGAAAGCUAGGGUAGCCAACGGGAUUAGAAACCCCAGUAGUCC
rnacentral:rRNA from 1 species